rnacentral:rRNA from 1 species
ACGCACGUGUGAAACUUGAAGGAAUUGACGGAAGGGCACCACAAGAACGCGUGGAGACUGUGGCUUAAUUUGACUCAACGCGGGAAAUCUUACCGGGUCCGGACACACUGAGGAUUGACAGGCAAUAUUAAAUAAAGUUUAAUUUUCGGACUAUCUGAUAUUUAUGUUAAAUAUGCUAGUCCUUUCAUGAUUAUGUGAUAGGUGGUGCAUGGCCGUUCUUAGUUCGUGGAGUGAUCUGUCUGCUUAAUUGCGUUUCACUAAGGGCUUAUCUAAUUAUAACGUGUGUUGCUAGAGUUUUAUACCUUUGUGACCCCUUUAAUUAGUGUGUGUCUAUAAUGGUAGCUUUGGCUCACACAAUAACGUCCUGAAAGCAACGAACGUGACCG